GACCUUUCGAUGGCGGCGUCGGGCUCUACUCGAGCCCGGUGGAAGCCUGACCCGCAGGCCUCACGAGCAGCAAACCCAGAGCCGCCAAGUCAGCGGGCCGAACACCGAAGCUGUGUCCUCUCUACCGCAUGUCCCGCAGAAAAACAGCGUAUUGGUGUGAGACUGCGGGUCAGACCGUCAUUUAAAACCCGCAGCUACGCUUCACUUGCUGCUGUCUCUACGCGAAUAUAAUGGCUGCGUGAGAGCGAGAUAAAACACGAACCCCGCGCAAAAACACUCGAGACAAAGUUUUGAACGCGCUCACCCUCCAGACUCACCCGGCGGCCCGAACCAGCGGACGAACUUUUAAUUCGAGUCCGCGCAGGUGACGUGACUUUUAGGAUUAGCUGUUGAGCUAACUUGGUUGGCAGUAAAACCUCCAGUCAGAGAUCAGAAAACCGCUAACAGCUGUCCGAAACGGCCGACCCGGGCCGGGCACACAGUCCUCGGGGAGAGUCGGUCACACGGUCCCCGGGACACCGAGCGGAUCUCCAGAAGAGUCCCAGAACCAGAGAAAAGGAACAGUUAGAAAGAUUUUUUACAACAUAGUCCUUGACCAAAUAGAGGUAGUUCACCAACUGUGAAAACAGCGCCGCCGCCCGGCCAGCCGGAGCAGCGCAGAAUCCCCAAAAAUCCUCCAUCUGCUUUGAGUCGUCAUCGCUAAAAAAUGGUGAAACAGGACACCGGGAGGCUCGGCCGUUAACCCUUCACUGCCCCCGAGACACGCGAGUCAGAGAGACGAGAGCCGGCAGACAAACACCAUCCAUCUUCACAGAGGCUUUUCUUUAAGUCCGCUAACAUCGUCUGUGAACGACCAACACACUGUGACCAGUGGUGGAACGUACCUGAGUACAUUUACUCCAGUAUAGUACUCCCAUUUUUACUCACAUGAAACAAAUACUGAACAUUUGCUGCAACUACUACAUUUAUCUGACGGCUUUAGUUACUGUGAAUAUUAAAGUUUUACAUUCAAAACCAUCAAAAUAUUACAAGAUAUACAUUUAAUCAGCCAGCAGUUUGUGAAACAAAACAAGUUAGCACUUUCCCUCUAACGACAGUACAACAUUUCUGUGUGUUAUUACUAUUCCUACUGAAGCUGAGGAUCUUCUUCCACCACGGACUGUGACUUACAAUCAUACUGCAGUUGUAAUGACUACAGAAAUACAAAAAGACAACAACUGUACACACUUUUAUUAAUUAUUUAUUGUUACUCCCAAAGUUACAGGUUGUUAAUGACUUAGUACUUUGUACUGAUGUGACUGUGGUUGUAAGACUCGUCUUGUUCUCUGUUUUGUUCUUGUGAUCAUGUUUGUUUGUUUGUUUGUUUAGCUGGAGUCAAUGUUCUUUAACUGUCGAUCAAUAAAAAGCUACAGGAAGCCUUUA